rnacentral:rRNA from 1 species
GACGAACGCUGGCGGCGUGCUUAACACAUGCAAGUCGAACGAUGAAGCCGGAGCUUGCUCCAGUUGAUUAGUGGCGAACGGGUGAGUAACACGUGAGCAAUCUGCCCUUGACUCUGGGAUAACUGCGGGAAACUGUAGCUAAUACCGGAUACUUUCACCGGGGGGCAUCCUCUGGUGAUGAAAGAAUUUCGGUCAAGGAUGAGCUCGCGGCCUAUCAGCUUGUUGGUGAGGUAACGGCUCACCAAGGCGACGACGGGUAGCCGGCCUGAGAGGGUGACCGGCCACACGGGGACGGAGACACUGCCCAGACUCCUACGGGAGGCAGCAGUGGGGAAGAUUGCACAAUGGGCGCAAGCCUGAUGCAGCAACGCCGCGUGAGGGAUGACGGCCUUCGGGUUGUAAACCUCUUUUAGUAGGGAAGAAGCGAAAGUGACGGUACCUGCAGAAAAAGCACCGGCUAACUACGUGCCAGCAGCCGCCGUAA